rnacentral:lncRNA from 1 species
AGCAGCAACAUGGUUUGACUCCAAUUUUGAAAGUUCUACUGUGGAUAAAAUGCUAUCACACAGCAUCACAUGUUAGAAAUAUUUCGUGAAAGGAAAAGUCAAUCGAUGCAGCAAACUUCAUUAUCUUAUUUAAAGAAACUGACAGAGCCAUCCCAACCUUCAAGCAGCUACCAUCCUAAUCAGUCAGCAGUAAUCAACAUCAAGGCAAGAACCUCCAACAGCAAAACGAUUAUGUGUUAAUGGCUCAGAUGAC